CGGAGGCUACCGCUAUUGGAGUCCGAUUAAGACCUGCGAGUCGAGAGCUUUCGGAGCUCGGCAUACUACUCAGUAACACGUGGGUAACCUGCCCUGUGCUGGGGGAUAACCUCGGGAAACUGAGAACAAUACCCCAUAGUCCACUACGCCUGGAACGGUGAGUGGAUGAAAGCCCCGGCGGCACAGGAUGGGCCUGCGGCGUAUCAGGUAGUAGGGGGUGUAAAGUACCCUCUAGCCUUCGACGCGUACGGGUUGUGAGAGCAAUAGCCCGGASAUGGAUUCUGAGACACGAAUCCAGGUCCUACGGGACGCAGCAGUCGCGAAACCUUGACAAUGCGGGAAACCGUGAUCAGGGGACUCCAAGUGCCAGGAGUAAGAUCCUGUGCUUUUCUUUUCUCUUCAAAGGAUUUGGAAUAASAGGUGGGUAAGGACGGUGCCAGCCGCCGCGGUAAUACCGGCGCCUCGAGUGGUAGUCGAUUUUAUUGGGCCUAAAACGUCCGUCGCCGGUCUGGUGCAUUCGUGGGUAAAUCAACCCGCUCAACGGGUUGAAUUCUGCGAGCACGGCCAGACUAGGGACCGGGAGAGGUGUGGGGUACGCUCGGGGUAGGGGUAAAAUCCUGUCAUCCCGAGCGGACCACCUGUUGCGAAGGCUCCACACUAGAACGGAUCCGACGGUCAGGGACGAAGCCUAGGGGCACGAACCGGAUUAGAUACCCGGGUAGUCCUAGGUGUAAACGCUGUGGACUUGGUGUUGGGAGCUCCCAGAGGGCUCUCAGUGCCGUAGCGAAGGUGAUAAGUCCACUGCCUGGGGAGUACGGUCGCAAGGCUGAAACUUAAAGGAAUUGGCGGGG
rnacentral:rRNA from 1 species